AAUCGAUGGGAGCCCCGGUGUGCUCAUCACCCCACAAUUAUGUGUAAAAUUCCUGCCACGAACUUGGACUUGUUCAGAGAGGUGGCCGACUGGAAAGCAAGGGCAAGUCCCGUCUUCCACUAAAGCCUCUGAGGGACAAAAGGAGGACAAGCAGAUGGUGACCUCAGCUCGGUCCCUAAACUUGAGCUGGGCUGUUCAGCAAAACAAGCCUGAAAACUUGCCUGGAGGGAAUCCCAGGGGAGGCAGGGACUGCGGCUCUCGAAACAGGAGGAAGGUUGGAGUCUCCUGCAGGGCCUGGGGCGAGGCUUCAACUGCUGCCCAACGGGACCUGUUCGGUGCCUGGAUCCCCCGGCAAAGAGUGAGGUUUGAACCCCAGGAGAUCCCAGACAAUCGGCUCGCCAUGGGAGUCCCAGGCGGGGCCCACAGCCCCCUGUGGGCAGGCUGAAGGGGAACGGGUCAUGGGCAGUGCUUCUUGGCUCCGUGCCGGGUCCCCCUGAAGGGAAUUGGCCAUUCAUUCUUUAGCUCCCCCAGGCUGCCACAUCAGAGCACCGCAGACGGGGUGGAUUAAACAACGAAAUGGACUUUCUCACGGUUCGGGAAGCCAGGAGGGCAAGUUUGGUUUCUUUCAAGGCCUCCCUCCCUGGCUUGCAGAUGGCCGCCCUCUCUUGUGUCUUUUCCUGGCCUUUCCUCUGCACACGCUGCCCCCCGGGUCUCAGUGUCCAAAUUCCCUCUUCCUUUAGGACAUCAGUUGUGUUGUAUGAGGGCCCCCCACCCAUGGGCAUCAUCUUUUUUUUUUUAAUCUUCUUGGGCUGCCCCGCAGCAUAUGGAAUUCCCAGGCCAGGCAUCAGAUCCGAGCUGCAGUUUUGACCUAAGCUGCAGCUGUGGCAACACUGGAUCUUAACCUGCUGUACUGGGCUGGGGGUUGAACCUGCGUCUCCACCUUCCAGAGACACCACCAAUCCCGCUGUACCACACGUGCCCUCCUGUAACUUUAGUCACCUCUCUAAUGACCCCAUCUCCAAACACACUCAGAUUUGGAAGUUAGGGCUUCAACAGAUGAACCUGGAGGUGGGGAAGGGACACAGUUCAACCCAUAACACGUUCAUUCCCAACACUCCAGGGCCUGUGCGAGCCCCAUGUUCAUGGUGAGCUAGAAGGACAAAUGAUACUGGUUCUCCUUUAAAAUAGAUGUAUUGGAGUUCCCAUUGUGGCUCAGCAGAUGAAGAACCCGACAUAGUGUCCGUGAGGAUACAGGUUCAAUCCCUGGCCUUGCUCAGUGGGUUAAGGAUCUGGUGUUGCCGUGAGAUGCAGCAUAGUCCGCAGACACGGCCGGGAUCUAGCGUGGCUGUGGCAUAGGCUGGCAGCUGCGACUCUGAUUCAGCCCUUAGCCUGGGAACUUCCAUAUGCAGUGCAGCCAUAGAAAAAAUAUAAACAAUAAAAUAAAAAUGUAUUGGUGCCCAAAUGUCAGCCUCCAGGAGAGCUCAUGCCAAUGAAUACUCCCUGAUACCACUGCCACCAGUUUCCUCAUCCCCAGAGUGAGCCACAAUCGCCCCCCCCCCCAGGAGACCCUCCUAAGACCAGCAGGUUCUAUAUCCUAAGAAUCAUACUGAGGCAUUUCUCUGGUAUCGGAAGAAGAUUUCUGCAAUGGGUCUUGAAGGAGACUUGCUAUGUCGUGGAAAUACAGCCUCUGAGCUACAGGUUGAUGGGGACAUGGCUUCUUUCAGGCAAGAGACUGGAGCCCUAGAAGAAAUUGACUGGAUAAGGGUUUUUUUUAAAGGGAAAUUAUUAAAGGAAAGAAAAGGAAGAAAUAUGACAGCAGGGGAGCCAAGAGCAAAAAACAGACACCAGCUUGUGCUGCACCUCUGUAUAGAUUGAAGAAUGAAGCGAAAGAUCACCUGAAAGUAGGCAGUUUGGUCUUCAUGCCCAUCAGACCCAUUUACGGAAAAACACUUAAAUAUCCCGAAAGCUUGUUAUCGUAGAACAGAGGAACUUUGGGGAGGGUCUGUGAGUGCCGAGAGUGUGUCCUUUCUUCCUGCCAAUAACUGGGAACAAGACGUCUGUCAGGAAUUAAUCACGCUGGUGUCAAGGAUGACUUAGAAAGCAGGCAACGGCUAAGAGAUCGACUGUGUCAUCUUUAUCCUUAAGAAUAGUUUAAGCUGUUACAGGAGUUCCCAUUGUGGCUCAGAAGUAAUGAACCUGACUAGUAUCCAUGAGGACAUGGGUUCGAUUCCUUGCCUUGCUCAUUGGGUUAAGGAUCCGGCAUUGCUGUGGCAGCUCCAAUUUGACCCCUAGCCUGAGAAUUUCCAUAUGCUGCAAGUGUGGCUCUAAAAAGACAAAUAAAAUAAAGUAUAAAAAAUAAAAAUAUAUACACAAUGAAAUACUACUCAGCCAUAAAAAAGAACAAAAUAAUGCCAUUUGCAGCAACAUGGAUGGAAUGAGAGACUCUCAUACUAAGCGAAGUAAGUCAGAGAAAGACAAAUACCAUAUGAUAUCACUUAUAUCUGGAAUCUAAUAUACGGCACAAGUGAACCUUCCCACAGAAAAGAAAAUCACGGACGUGGAGAACAGACUUGUGGUUGCCAAGAGGGAGGGGGAGGGAGUAGGAGGGACUGGGAGUUUGGGGUUAAUAGAUGCAAGCAAGCUAUAGCCUUUGGAAUGGGAUCCUGCUGUGUAGCACUGGGAACUAUGUCUGGUCACUUGUGAUGGAGCAUGAGAAUGUGAGAAAAAGGAAUGUAUACAUGUAUGGGUGACUGGGUCACAUUGCUGUGCAGCAGAAAAUUGACAGAACACUGUAAAUCAGCUAUCAUGGAAAAAAUAAAAAUCAUUACCAAAAAAAGAACAGUUUAAGUUGUUACAAAUUGAUUGAUUGUAUUUUGAGCUCAUAGCUACAGUUACAUUCUCUCACAGGGAGAGUGGCUAAGCUUUUUAAUCUUUCUUUUGCAAAAGAGUAAAAGCAGCCCCCUGGCAUGAUUAGGAAUGGCCCUUUUUUACUUAAUAUAGAGUUGGAAUUUAUUGUGUUGGGUUAUGUAAAAGGCAAAGAAAAAUAAAUGAGUUUGAGUUCUGCUUUAAAAUAAAUGUAUUAAGUAGCGCUGACAUGUGGAUACAGGGAAAGUCACAAAGGUGAGGUUUUAAAUGACUUCAGUUUAGAAAACACUGAAAAAAAAACCCAAAAAAUAAAUGAAACAAAAUAAGAAGUAAGAGGGAGUUCCCAUUGUGACACAGCGGAAACAAAUCUGACUAGUAACCAUGAGAUUGCAGAUUUGAUCCCUGACCUCGCUCAGUGGGUUAAGGAUCUGGUGUUGCUGUGGCUGUAGAGUAGGCUGGCAGUUACAGUUCUGAUUCGACCCCUAGCCUGGGAACCUCCAUAUGUGGUGGGUGCAGCCC
rnacentral:lncRNA from 1 species